rnacentral:tRNA from 1 species
AGAAUUUUAGUUUAAUUAGUUUUUAAAACAGUAAAUUGCAAGUUUAAAGAUGCUUAGGGCAAGUUCUU